GAAAUGCAAUAAGUAGUGUGAAUUGCAGAAUUCAGUGAAUCAUCGAAUCUUUGAACGCACAUUGCGCCCCUUGGUAUUCCAUGGGGCAUGCCUGUUCGAGCGUCAUUUGUACCCUCAAGCUCUGCUUGGUGUUGGGUGUUUGUCCCCGUCUCCGCGCGUGGACUCGCCCCAAAGUGAUUGGCAGCCGGCGUACUGGUCCCGGAGCGCAGCACAUGUCGCGCAAACGAGUGCCUUGGUACGGCGGCGUCCAUAAGCCCCUCUCUCACGCUCUUGACCUCGGAUCAGGUAGGGAUACCCGCUGAACUUAAGC
rnacentral:misc_RNA from 1 species